rnacentral:rRNA from 1 species
AUUGAACGCUGGCGGCAGGCCUAACACAUGCAAGUCGAACGAGUGGCGGACGGGUGAGUACUGUAUGGGAACCUGCCUGAUGUAGGGGGAUAACUACUGGAAACGUUAGCUACUACCGCAUACCAUCAGAUGUGCCCAGAUGGGAUUAGCUUGUUGGUGGGGUAACGGCUCACCAAGGCGACGAUCCCUAGCUGGUCUGAGAGGAUGACCAGCCACACUGGAACUGAGACACGGUCCAGACUCCUACGGGAGGCAGCAGUGGGGAAUAUUGCACAAUGGGCGCAAGCCUGAUGCAGCCAUGCCGCGUGGAUGAAGAAGGUCUUCGGGUUGUAAAGUACUUUCAGCGGGGAGGCGUUACCCGCAGAGGAAGCACCGGCUAACUCCGUGCCAGCAGCCGCGGUAAUUC